ACGGGUGAGUAACACGUGGAUAACCUACCUAUAAGACUGGGAUAACUUCGGGAAACCGGAGCUAAUACCGGAUAAUAUUUUGAACCGCAUGGUUCAAAAGUGAAAGACGGUCUUGCUGUCACUUAUAGAUGGAUCCGCGCUGCAUUAGCUAGUUGGUAAGGUAACGGCUUACCAAGGCAACGAUGCAUAGCCGACCUGAGAGGGUGAUCGGCCACACUGGAACUGAGACACGGUCCAGACUCCUACGGGAGGCAGCAGUAGGGAAUCUUCCGCAAUGGGCGAAAGCCUGACGGAGCAACGCCGCGUGAGUGAUGAAGGUCUUCGGAUCGUAAAACUCUGUUAUUAGGGAAGAACAUAUGUGUAAGUAACUGUGCACAUCUUGACGGUACCUAAUCAGAAAGCCACGGCUAACUACGUGCCAGCAGCCGCGGUAAUACGUAGGUGGCAAGCGUUAUCCGGAAUUAUUGGGCGUAAAGCGCGCGUAGGCGGUUUUUUAAGUCUGAUGUGAAAGCCCACGGCUCAACCGUGGAGGGUCAUUGGAAACUGGAAAACUUGAGUGCAGAAGAGGAAAGUGGAAUU
rnacentral:rRNA from 1 species